UUUAAAUGUAAAGUAAAAAAAACUAAAGUCGUAAUUGUUAUGUUCUUCAAAUUUAAAAAAUUUGGCGGUAUUUUAGUCUAUUCAGAGGAACCUGUUCUAUAAUCGAUAAUCCACGAUUAAAGAUACUUAAAUUAAUUAAUUUGUAUAUCGUUGUUUUUAAGUAUUUUAUAAGAAAUUAAAUAAUUAAUAAUUUAAAAUAAAAAAUAAUUCAAAUCAAGGUGCAGUUUAUAUUUAAGAAGAAAUGGGUUACAAUAAAAUUAUUUAUAUGAAUUUAUAUAUGAAAUAUUAUAAUGAAGGUGGAUUUGAUGGUAAAAAAAUUUAUUUAAAUUUUUUGAUUAAGCUCUAAAAUGUGU
rnacentral:rRNA from 1 species